GACGAACGCUGGCGGCGCGCCUAACACAUGCAAGUCGAACGAAGAAAGCGAUAGUUUACUAGAGCUUUCUUAGUGGCGGACGGGUGAGUAACACGUGAAGAACCUGCCUUACAGAGGGGGAUAACUAUUGGAAACGAUAGCUAAGACCGCAUAGGUACGGACACUGCAUGGUGACCGUAUUAAAAGUGCCUCAAAGCACUGGUAGAGGAUGGACUUAUGGCGCAUUAGCUGGUUGGCGGGGUAACGGCCCUCCAAGGCGACGAUGCGUAGCCGACCUGAGAGGGUGACCGGCCACACUGGGACUGAGACACGGCCCAG
rnacentral:rRNA from 1 species